rnacentral:rRNA from 1 species
GGCGUCAGGACGAACGCUGGCGGCGUGCCUAACACAUGCAAGUCGAGCGGGACGAUGCGACGGAGACGAAGUACUCGUACGGAGUCAAAGAUGUAAUGUUCUAGCGGCGGACGGGUGGAGUAACGACGUGAGCAACCUGUCCCUUACAGGGGGAUAACACAGCGAAAGUUGUACUAAUACCGCAUAAGACCACAGAGUGACAUCGCUCAGGGGUCAAAGGAGCAAUCCGGUAAGGGGUGGGCUCGCGUCCGAUUAGAUAGUUGGUGAGGUAACGGCCCACCAAGUCGACGAUCGGUAGCCGACCUGAGAGGGUGAUCGGCCACAUUGGGACUGAGACACGGCCCAAACUCCUACGGGAGGCAGCAGUGGGGAAUAUUGGGCAAUGGGGGGAAACCCUGACCCAGCAACGCCGCGUGAGGGAAGAAGGUUUUCGGAUCGUAAACCUCUGUCCCAGGUGAAGAGGAAGAGACGGUAGCCUGGGAGGAAGCCCCGGCUAACUACGUGCCAGCCGCUGC